rnacentral:rRNA from 1 species
UGUGGGAAACCGCAGGUAAUACCUGAUGAUAUCACAGAAUCCACGGGUUUUGUGAUCAAAGGGGUGGCCUCUUCUUGAAAGCUACCGGCUUUGGAGCGGCCCAAGUCCUAUCAGCUAGUUGGUGAGGUAACGGCUCACCAAGGCUUCGACGGGUAUCGGGACUGAGAGGUUGGCCCGACGCAUCGGAACUGAGACACUGUCCGGACUCCUACGGGAGGCUGCAGUAACGAAUAUUGGACAAUGGGCGAAAGCCUGAUCCAGCGACGCCGCGUGCAGGAAGAAGUCCUUCGGGAUGUAAACUGCUGUCAGGGACUACCAAGCAAUCAGGGUUAAUAAUCCUGUGCGUUGAGGCGUCCCAGAGGAAGCCACUGCUAACUUCGUGCCAGCAGCAGCGGUAAUACGAAGGUGGCGAGCGUUGUUCGGAAUCACUGGGCUUAAAGAGCAUGUAGGCGGAUUGUCAAGCGUCUUGUGAAAGCCCUCGGCUUAACCGGGGAAUUGCUGGGCGAACUGACAGUCUUGAGGCAGGUAGGGGCAGAUGGAACUCUUGGUGGAGCGGUGGAAUGCGUAGAUAUCAAGAGGAACGCCAGAGGCGAAAGCGAUCUGCUGGGCCUGACCUGACGCUGAGAUGCGAAAGCCAGGGGAGCGAACGGGAUUAGAUACCCCGGUAGUCCUGGCCAUAAACGAUGUCAACUAGGUCAGAGGUUCUCUGACGCGAUUCCGGCCGANAUGAAAACGCUUAGUUGACCGCCUGGGGAGUACCGGUCGCAGGCUUAAACUCCAAGGAUUUGACGGGUGCUCACACAAGCGGUGGAGCAUGUGCUUAAUUCGAUGCAACGCGAAGAAC